rnacentral:rRNA from 1 species
AGUGAACGCUGGCGGUAGGCCUAACACAUGCAAGUCGAACGGCAGCACAGUAAGAGCUUGCUCUUACGGGUGGCGAGUGGCGGACGGGUGAGGAAUACAUCGGAAUCUUCUUUUUCGUGGGGGAUAACGUAGGGAAACUUACGCUAAUACCUCAUACGACCUACGGGUUAGAGCAGUGGAUCUUCGGACCUUUCGCGAUUGUAUGAGCCGAUGUCGGAUUAGCUAGGUGGCGUGGUAAAGGCCCACCAAGGCAACGAUCCGUAGCUGGUCUGAGAGGAUGAUCAGCCACACUGGAACUGAGACACGGUCCAGACUCCUACGGGAGGCAGCAGUGGGGAAUCUUGGACAAUGGGCGCAAGCCUGAUCCAGCCAUACCGCGUGAGUGAAGAAGGCCUUCGGGUUGUAAAGCCCUUUUGUUGGGAAAGAAAAGCAGCAGGUUAAUACCCCGAUGUUCUGACGGUACCCAAAGAAUAAGCACCGGCUAACUUCGUG